GGCCAACAGAGCAUGCAGAUAAUUAUCUGCGACACACAUUGUACACUGUGAGCAGGUAUACAGGCCAACAGAGCAUGCAGAUAAUUAUCUGUGACACCCAUGGUGCACUGUGAGCAGGUAUACAGGCCCACAGAGCAUGCAGAUAAUUACCUGUGACACCCAUUGUUCACUGUCAGCAGGUAUACAGGCCCACAGAGCAUGCAGAAAAUUAUCUGUGACACUCCUUGUACCCUGUGAGCAGGUAUACAGGCCCACAGAGCAUGCAGAUAAUUAUCUGUGACACCCAUUGUACAUUGUGAGCAGGUAUACAGGCCAACAGAGCAUGCAGAUAAUUAUCUGUGACACCCUUUGAACACUGUGAGCAGGUAUACAGGACAACAGAGCCUGCAGAUAAUUAUCUGUGACACCCACGGUGCACUGUGAGCAGGUAUACAGGCCCACAGAGCAUGCAGAUAAUUAUCUGUGACACCCAUUGUACAUUGUGAGCAGGUAUACAGGCCCACAGAGCAUGCAGAUAAUUAUCUGUGACACCCACGGUGCACUGUGAGCAGGUAUACAGGCCCACAGAGCAUGCAGAUCAUUAUCUGUGACACCCAUGGUGCACUGUGAGCAGGUAUACAGGCCCACAGAGCAUGCAGAUAAUUAUCUGUGACACCCAUUGUACAUUGUGAGCAGGUAUACAGGCCCACAGAGCAUGCAGAUCAUUAUCUGUGACACCCAUUGUACACUGUGAGCAGGUAUCAGUACUGACUACUUUUUAUAUUGAGUCACAUGUUUUAUGUGAAUUACUUUGUACUGAACUGAAGGCCAGUAUUUGUCACUGUGAAUAUGUUGUUACAGACGUCCAUCCAGAAAUCAGAGCUGGGGGAAAAGAUAAGGUCCUUAUUCCAAUUAAUUUUUGGUACAAAUAUCUAUGUGUCUGCCGCAGAUGGAGGAUUAUAUAUUCUAGAGGUUUCUUUUUAUUUUUAAGUUGCAGAAUGUUGUCUCAUCUGAGGAGGAUUCAGUGUAUUAUGUGUGAGGUCCAUUUUGGUUCUGAUGCUAGAUUCAGUUAGUAAAUAUUAGAAAAAUUGCAUAUUCUCAACUCGCAUUUAUGGAUUAAGUCUUUGAAUGUCAUGAAAUGACUGUUACUGAAAAGGAGGUGGAGAUGUGUAAUCCCUUUCUGUCCCCGUGAGUGAUAGUGAAUGGUGAUAUUGUGAAGUAGGAAGUCCAGAUUAUUCCAGAUUGGCGUGUAUUUACAGGGUCUGAGAGUACAGUUAGUGAUUUUAAUGGCUUUCCACUGGGCUGUCAGUGCUGUGGAAAUGGCAGCACUGUGUUGUUAAAGCAGUUUUGUUUCUUUAAUGACAUUUUGAGUAAGUCUGCAUGUCUGAGAUUUUUACAGUACAGCUGCUCCUGCUGUAACCAUGAGCUGCUGUUACUGCUGUAGUG